rnacentral:tRNA from 1 species
GGAGUUGUAGCUUAGUGGUAGAGAGCUUGCCUAACAUGUAUGAGGCACUGAGUUUGAUCCUCAGCACUACA